AGAAAUGUCGCGGGGAGUUGGGAUAGGCCUGGCUGAGAGGGUGACCGGACAGUCACCGACCCGCUGAACCUGACCUGGAUCAUACCAGCGGAGGGACCGACAGGUGACCUAAAA
rnacentral:ncRNA from 2 species